UGAUGUAACGGGGCUAAGCCAGUCACCGAAGCUGCGGAUAUCAAUUUAUUGAUAUGGUAGGAGAGCGUUCUGUAAGCCUGCGAAGGUGUCUUGUAAAGGAUGCUGGAGGUAUCAGAAGUGCGAAUGCUGACAUGAGUAGCGAUAAUGGGGGUGAAAAGCCUCCACGCCGUAAGCCCAAGGUUUCCUGUUCAACGUUCAUCGGAGCAGGGUGAGUCGGCCCCUAAGGCGAGGCAGAGAUGCGUAGCUGAUGGGAAGCAGGUUAAUAUUCCUGCACCGUCGUUAGAUGCGAUGGGGGGACGGAUCGCGGAAGGUUGUCCGGGUGUUGGAAGUCCCGGUAUCUGUAUCAGAGAAGGCUGUUAGGCAAAUCCGGCAGCGUAAUUCAAGGGUAUGGGUCGAGCGAACUUGUUCGCGAAGCAAUCGGAAGUGGUUCCAAGAAAAGCCUCUAAGCUUCAGUCUAACGAGACCGUACCGCAAACCGACACAGGUGGGCGAGAUGAGUAUUCUAAGGCGCUUGAGAGAACUCGGGAGAAGGAACUCGGCAAAUCUGUACCGUAACUUCGGGAUAAGGUACGCCCCGGUAGUUUGACUGGCCUGCGCCAGGAGGACGAAAGGGCUGCAAUAAAAAGGUGGCUGCGACUGUUAAUAAAAACACAGCACUAUGCAAACACGAAAGUGGACGUAUAUGGUGUGACUCCUGCCCGGUGCUGGAAGAUUAAAUGAUGGGGUGCAAGCUCUUGAUUGAAGUCCCAGUAAACGGCGGCCGUAACUAUAACGGUCCUAAGGUAGCGAAAUUCCUUGUCGGGUAAGUUCCGACCUGCACGAAUGGAGUAACGAUGGCCACACUGUCUCCUCCCGAGACUCAGCGAAGUUGAAAUGUUUGUGAUGAUGCAAUCUACCCGCGGCUAGACGGAAAGACCCCAUGAACCUUUACUGUAGCUUUGCAUUGAAUUUUGAACCAAUCUGUGUAGGAUAGGUGGGAGGCUUUGAAGCGUGAACGCUAGUUUGCGUGGAGCCAACCUUGAAAUACCACCCUGGUUUGUUUGAGAUUCUAACCUUGGACCGUUAUCCGGUUCGGGGACAGUGCAUGGUGGGCAGUUUGACUGGGGCGGUCUCCUCCUAAAGUGUAACGGAGGAGUUCGAAGGUACGCUAGGUACGGUCGGACAUCGUGCUAAUAGUGCAAUGGCAUAAGCGUGCUUAACUGCGAGACUGACAAGUCGAGCAGGUACGAAAGUAGGACAUAGUGAUCCGGUGGUUCUGUAUGGAAGGGCCAUCGCUCAACGGAUAAAAGGUACUCUGGGGAUAACAGGCUGAUUCCUCCCAAGAGUUCAUAUCGACGGGGGAGUUUGGCACCUCGAUGUCGGCUCAUCACAUCCUGGGGCUGUAGCCGGUCCCAAGGGUAUGGCUGUUCGCCAUUUAAAGUGGUACGUGAGCUGGGUUUAAAACGUCGUGAGACAGUUUGGUCCCUAUCUGCCGUGGGCGUUGGAAAUUUGAGGGGGGCUGCUCCUAGUACGAGAGGACCGGAGUGGACGAACCUCUGGUGUACCGGUUGUCACGCCAGUGGCAUUGCCGGGUAGCUAAGUUCGGAAGAGAUAACCGCUGAAAGCAUCUAAGCGGGAAACUUGCCUUGAGAUGAGAUUUCCCGGGAACUAGAUUCCCCUAAAGGGUCGUUCGAGACCAGGACGUUGAUAGGUCAGGUGUGGAAGCG
rnacentral:rRNA from 1 species